UGAAUCAUCUGAGGCUUCAACAGCUUGGUAGAAACAAUGCUAGCUGGCAAUGGAAUAAUGAGGGGCUUUAAUAUGAUCUAAUGUAACAGCACCUGCGAUCCAACACAAAUAAAAGGGACCCAAAAGGUGAAAGUAGAACAGAAUAAAGCAUUAUCCUAGUCCCAUAUUUAGUAUUUUAUUCAGCAUUUGCUGUUUUAUUAACAGCUUAUUAUUUUGCUAUGUGCACAAUAGCCUGUCAGAUUGAAGUCAAUUAAAACUCAUCAGGAAACUAAUGUGUUAAAUCUCUGGGGCCAUUAAUCUGAAAUCACUGCUGCAUUAGCACAAUACCAUUCAUAACUGAUAGCUCUGAAUUUUAAAGGUUAAUAUCACAAUACUCUAAAUUAAAAGUACUAUUCCCAAAAUUACUAAGUAAAACAUAGUGUAAAAUUAAAUUGUAACUUUUAAGAAUGCAAUUUUUUUCCUUCUGAAUUUACUUUUACAGGUUCCACAUUAAGUGUAGAUAAUUUGACAGUGAAGAAGCCACCACCUCCUACAUCAUAUGCAGCAUGCAAAAAUAAAUCAAAACAUUUGCUUGCAGAACAAGAAAUGCAAUCUCUUAUCCAACCCACUGAAAAGGAUUUAAACAAAUGUGAAUGGUACGUUGGAGAAUACGAUCGCCAUAAAGCAGAGAAGAUACUGUUACAGAAAAACCUUGAUGAGACAUUCUUGGUUAGAGAUUGUUCAAAGAAAUCAAAGUCUGAACCAUACGUUUUGGUUGUUUAUUAUGGAAGAAGAGUAUACAACAUUAAAGUCCGUUUUCUGGAAGAAAGCCAACAAUACGCGUUGGGAACAGGGCUCAGAGGAGAGUGUGUAAGUAACAUCCCAUCUGCUGUUACAGACUAUAGCUUUUAUGUUGGACUUCACAAGUUCUUAAUAUUAAACAUUCAUUACUAACUCUCCCACAUAAACUUGCUGCUUCAUUAAAGUUUCUUUUACAUUACACUCAUUUU